AUGGGCAUCAACAGUGUCAGCCCCUGCUCCCUAAAGGGGAGAUCAGAGGUUUUUGUACGACGGCUUCAUCAGUUUGUAUCACUGUGGUACACGUUUGGUGGAGGAACCAGACUGGAGCUUGGAAGUGAUGCUCGUCCCACCCUGACAGUGCUGCCCCCCUCCAGUGAGGAGCUGCAGCAGGGGAAGGCCACCCUCAUGUGUCUGGCCAACAAGGGCUUCCCCUCAGACUGGAGUCUGUCCUGGAAGGUGGACGGCAGCAGCAGCAGCAGCUGGGAGGAGAACAAGAGCCGAGGAGUGCUGCAGAAGGACGGCCUCUACAGCUGGAGCAGCACCCUGAGGCUCCCUGCAGACCAGUGGAGGAAGGUGGGCUCUGUGACCUGUGAGGCCACCCAGGGCUCCCAGUCUGCAGUCACAGAGACACUGAGGAGAGACCAGUGUUCCCAUUGACAACCUGACUUGUUUUUUUUUUACUCUGCUACUUUUUAAAGUGUUUUACGGCCAUGUUUAUUGUCUGUGAAAUGUGUAUCAGAUUUUAUUCUUGAACCUUCUAUUUCUUCUCAUGAUCCUCAAUUUUUUUCAACAUAAUAAAAAACA